AACGAACGCUGGCGGCAUGCCUAACACAUGCAAGUCGAACGGGACCUUCCUGUCUAGUUGCGCACGGGUGCGUAACGCGGGGGAAGCUGCCCUUAGGUUCGGAAUAACUCCCUUUAGGGGGUGCUAAUACCGGAUAAUGUAUUCGGACAAAAGAUUUAUCGCCUGUGGGUGGGCGCGCGAUGGAUUAGCUAGUUGGUAGGGUAAAAGCCUAUCACGGCGACGAUCCAUAGCUGGUCUGAGAGGAAGAUCAGCCACACUUGGGCUAGGACACGGCCCAGAAUACUACGGGAGGGAGGAGUGGGUAAUAUAGGACAAUGGGCGAAAGGCUGAUCCAGCAAGGCCGGGUGAGUGAUGAAGGCCUUAGGGUAGUAAAGCUCUUUUACCCGGGAUGAUAAUGACGGUACCGGGAGAAUAAGCACCGGCUAACUCCGUG
rnacentral:rRNA from 1 species